GACGAACGCUGGCGGCGUGCUUAACACAUGCAAGUCGAACGGAAAGGCCCUGCUUUUGUGGGGUGCUCGAGUGGCGAACGGGUGAGUAACACGUGAGUAACCUGCCCUUGACUUUGGGAUAACUUCAGGAAACUGGGGCUAAUACCGGAUAGGAGCUCCUGCUGCAUGGUGGGGGUUGGAAAGUUUCGGCGGUUGGGGAUGGACUCGCGGCUUAUCAGCUUGUUGGUGGGGUAGUGGCUUACCAAGGCUUUGACGGGUAGCCGGCCUGAGAGGGUGAACGGCCACAAUGGGACUGAGAGACGGCCCAGACUCCUACGGGAGGCAGCAGUGGGGAAUAUUGCACAAUGGGCGGAAGCCUGAGGCAGCAACGCCGCGUGCGGGAUGACGGCCUUCGGGUUGUAAACCGCUUUCGCCUGUGACGAAGCGUGAGUGACGGUAAUGGGUAAAGAAGCACCGGCUAACUACGUG
rnacentral:rRNA from 1 species